GACAAAAAAAAAAAAAAAAAAAAAAAAGUAGGAGGAAAAAUAGUACGGCUGCACCGUACUGAAAACAAUUGCAGGCGUAGUCAUCCGUUGUUUUUCCUUUUUUUUCUU
rnacentral:ribozyme from 12 species